rnacentral:rRNA from 1 species
AUUGAACGCUGGCGGUAUGCCUAACACAUGCAAGUCGAACGGCAGCACGGUAAUAGCUUUCUCUUACGGUUGGCGAGGGGCGGGUGAUUGAGGAAUACAUCGGAAGCUACUUUUUCUUGGUGGAUAACGGAGGGAAACUUACGCUAAUACCGCAUAGGACGUACGGGGGAAAUCAUGGGAUCUUCGGACCUUGCGCGAUUCAAUGAGCCGAUGUCGGAUUAGCUAGUUGGCGGGGUAAAGGCCCACCAAGGCGACGAUCCGUAGCUGGUCUGAGAGGAUGACCAGCCACACUGGAACUGAGACACGGUCCAGACUCCUACGGGAGGCAGCAGUGGGGAAUAUUGGACAAUGGGCGAAAGCCUGAUCCAGCCAUACCGCGUGGGUGAAGAAGGCCUUCGGGUUGUAAAGCCCUUUUGUUGGGAAAGAAAAGCAGCAGGUUAAUACCCCGCUGUUCUGACGGUACCCAAAGAAUAAGCACCGGCUAACUUCGUG